GUGAAGUGCCCUGCUUUGUCUUCAGUCAGCAUUUGCAACCUGUUCUUGCCUUAGCAGCCUCUCCAUUGGGUUUUAAAGACCCUCUGCCACACAAAGGCUUUGGGGCCGCGAUCCAGGAGCCUGCGGUGCCAUAUGUGCCAUAUGCCAGGGCUUGGGGCUCAGGGUGCCUCCAGCAGCAGCUGGGGCUGUGCCUGGAGGGGAGCACCCUGAGACAGCACAGGCUGCUUUAGAUUUGGCAUCGCCAAAGGAUUUUCUAUUCCUCCCCCCAGGUUAUGGAUACCCCGCAGCACCCACUUUCAGCAGUGAGCUGAGCACAAUACCCUCCAGCAUCUCCUUGAUGAACCCAGAGUACCCCCAGAAGCCCCUGUUUCCAAUGUCCAUGUGCUGGGUGUCAUCAGAUACCAUAUCCUAUGUGGAACUGUUUGGACUUUUCUACAACACUGUGACAUUUUUACAGCUUCAGUGGAAUCACACGGCUCAUGGAAAACAUCCCAAAUAGUCACAAAAACCACGUGAAGCCAGAAAAUCGCACUGCUGCUGGGAUAAAAUGGAUGCAAAUGCGGAGUGAUCUGAUAGAGAAUGUCAAUCAUGACCUGUACAGAGGAGUACACCUUACAUUCAAAACAUAAGAAAACGUAUUACCCUCAUCUUGCUUUCUUAAAAGCGACAACCUGUGAGAUGAAACAAUAAAUCUGCUAGCUGGCCUCUCCUGCCCCAAACCUCUUAAGGCUCCAGCUCGUGUUUGUUGCUGAACACUCUCUGCCAACAUUUCAUUUUCCUCUCAUACUGAUACUUAAUGCCUUAAGUGCUUGGAAAGAUAAACACUGUCUUUAAGCAGCACAAUCUCUUGAUCAGUUUAUCUGAGGAUUAUUACACGAGUGCACAGAGGAGUGAGUCAUAAAUUGAGCACAUUUUUGCCCCAGCUGGUGAUUCCAUUGGGACCAGUGAGAUCGUGUAUUCUAAAAGAACCAUGAAAAUGGGACACGGAGGAGAUUCAACUAACAAUUUUGUUAACAAAGCCCACUGUGAUGGGGCAGCAAACUAUGUACGUGUGACCCACGCCUCCUGGUGCUGGGGGGUGAAGAGAGAAGAUGCUUUCCUGGGAUCAGAUAAAGAUACACGAGCCUUUGUUUGCAACAGUGUUCUAUUUCCCUUUCAGUGCCAUUUUGAUAGAUUAAGUCGUCCGAAAAAGGGUUUAUGACUUUUGCCAAACGCUACUUUCAGAACAGCCAGAAAAGCUGAUGUGUCCCAAUGGGAAAAGAAUAUAGGAACUGAAGUGGAAUUAACUUAAACCAGCACGAGUUCAUCCUCUUAAAUCCAAACCAGAGAAGAAACAAUGAAAGUUUGGUUUUGGUGCAUGCUGGACCAAAAUGUAAGAGUCUGAAUGAUGCUCUGGGGAAGAGCUCCAAUAGAAACAUGAGGGCAGACUGAAACAAGGGAUGGGAUGCGCUGCCAAGAGCUGCCCCAAAUCAGCUUGCAGAGCACUGUGAGAAAUGACAGUGAUUAGAACUUUAAGUCUGAAGAGUACAGUUAGGGCAACAGCCAAUCAACUGAUGUUCCAUUAAUGCAGCUGUCGCUGAUAUCCCAUUGAUGCUCAGCUCACAACCUUCCAUUCUGCAAGGGUAUUUUUUUGGUGAGUUUUAAAAUCUGGUGAGUGGAGAAAGUCCGUGUUCUGCAUUCACUUGCUCACAAAUACCCCACACAGGCCGAAGUUCUCCCAGAAUUUAGCUUUACUGGUCAUAUAAACCACAACAACAAAGCAGCUCUGACUUCAAACUUCCUUUCCAAGCUCAACCAGUCCCAAGGUUGCUCCCUGCUGACACUUCCAUGCCAGUCUGCAAUUUCUCUCUUGUAUCUGCUUGCAACUUGUAAAAAUGAUCUGCAGCUGUGAUCCAGCACAUUCUCAUAUGAAGAGUAUUUGAACUGAGUACAGCUCUGCGUUUAUAAGAAGGUUGACAAAAUUACUACCCAGUAAUGAAUCAUCUUCUCAGAUAUUCACAAAUAUUCUCCCGAAUUCACAUUUUACUACAUUAUUUAUAUCAACAGAUGUUGAGGCAGGAACGCACUUCAGUCCUUCCUGAAAACUGGCACUAAUUUUAGGUUGGGAAUGCAUCUUCUUAAUGAAAAACACAUCAGAGGCAAGGAUGUUUUCAAAGCAACCGAUUCUGGCAUGUUACACUUUGAAACUAAAGCCAUUUCUUUUCUGAAAGGAUUCCAUAAGACUCACACAUACUCAGGACAACAAAAGAUCUUUGUGUGUGUGUGUGAAAGUUGACCCAUCGCUGGACCAAGACACCCAAGCUAACAAACAAAUGUGCAAUGGCGGUAGAUCAUUUGGGCACUUCUCUACAAUGUAGGUUCUUGGACCAUUCAUAGCGGUCAUUUUUGAAAUUCUUUCCCUUUGAAAGGUUCUUUGUGAAGGAAAUGUUGCUUAGAUUGAAUCAGGGAUAUGGGAGCUGGAAUGGGAACAGAGUCCAUUUUCUUAUUAAACAGAGUACUUUUCAUGUUAUAAGCAUGACAGAGAGUAUACAUCACAGCCUGAAGUUCAGUAUUUGAAUCCACAGCUGGAUUCGACCUUCCACUCUUAUGUCAAGACAUGAGUAAGGACACAUCUGCAGUUUACACUCUGACCCCAUUCAGAAGCCACUGACCAAUUCAAAAAGGAUCAUAGAGCUCCAGAUUCAGCAGUUUGGUUGUGAACUGGCAUAUGAGAUGGGCUCAGGAAGCCCUGGAAAGACCUGGGAGAGCUGAGAGCACUCAGACCCAUCCAGGGAGCUCCCAGAUUUUCCAGGAACAGAAGUGGUGAGCUCUCAGCAGACCUGUCACAUACCUGCAGCCUCCUUGGGGCCAGACAUCAUUAGGUUGCUGCAGGCAGAAACUAACACAGUUCCACGAUUUCUUCAUGCAGUGCCUCUUAUCCCUCUGUCAUCUGAUAGAUACAAGUUCUGUUUGUUACCCCAGCACUGAGAUGGUGCCUUGAUAUUCUCUUUGACAGAACAAGAAGCUUUUCCACUUCACCAGGAUUUCUGAUCCAAAUAAUGCUCCAACAGUCACAAGCGGGGUGUUAUAAGAGCAUCACCAAAGAAAAUGUCUUCCAAAUAGUGAUCAGGUUCUGUGUUACUUCCCACCCUUUCAGAGCUAAAGAUAACGUUCUCCAUUUCAGCAGUGAAGUAAAGAAACAAUAAAGACCUUUUGUUACAGGUCAUCCGGCUCUACUUUCUAUUCCUUUGGAUUAAGUGGAAAAGAACAAAACAGACUCAGAGCUGUGAUUUUUAUUGUGCAUUCACAGUUUUAUGUUAGAUUCAGUGAUGUGAAUUAUUACUGAGCUGCAUCUGUUAAAGAACACUGCCCAGGUAAGAUCAGCACCUACUGGCUCCAGCUCAGCUGCAAUCCACAGGCUUUUUACCAUCAAUAUUUAUAUGAUCAGACUCCAUGUAAUGGGCAGGCAGACAGACACAAUAUGUCUGUAAAUGAA
ensembl:lncRNA